UUAUCUCUGCAUGUAUGUAUAUGUACGUAUGUAUGUGUGGAUGUGUGUGUUCUUGCAAUUCAUAUAUCUACUUUUGCUUGUGUGUGCUUUUACAUGCCUCACACGAAGUUUCGUGUUUCUUAUCGCUUCAAAGAAGAGCUUAUCUGGAGAUCAGUUGCAUUUUGCAUAUAUGUACGUAUGUGUGUAUUAGGUAAAGAGAAAAUAAAAAUAUGUGCUGUACACACGAGCUAUUACUCUACUUUUGUUUUGGAUCCAUUGAUCGCUCGUCUUUUAGGUAUAAAAAUGAGAAAUGAGAAACCGGCGCACAGCAAAUAAGCAAGCGCUCAAAAUUCGAGUGAGACCGAUGCGACACAUUGAUAUGCAUACUCACCCACACAAGCCCGUGUAUGUGAAGAGAUGCGGCAAAGCCAGAGAUAAGCAGUCACCUGUUAGUGUGUGUGUUCGCUGUCAUUUAUCUUCUUACGCUCAUGCACUCACAGCUCUUUCUUGGUGCUGAUCGCUGAUUGGUCCAAUUAAUAACCGCUUGCAUUGAAGUUCUCGUCUCUUCGUGCUCAGCACCGUUUUUAUGAACCUGAGCAACGUUCUGCCGUGUUAGUGUGGCCUCAUCAGUCAAUAAGUUUUCAGCCAAAUGUUCCCUGGACAAGGAUACCAUUAAUGUUGUUGGUGCCUAGAUGACCUUGGUUAUUUUAUACCAUGGAUAUACAUUCCACUAAAUUUUAACCUAAAUGUAAUGGUUAUGGUUACUUAAAUCAACAUGUUUAGUGUUGGUUCUGUCGAUUUUACAGGCAAUGUAUUUAAGUUUGCAAGAAGUUAUUCAUUUUUCACUCUGUCGUUCUAGCAAAUCUGCCACGCCCAUAGACAGCAAAAUCUUCUGUAUCGUUGGUACCUUCAUGAAGACAUUAAAAAGAAGUCUGCAUCGGAAUUUUAAAGAUUAUGUCUCUUCCGGAUCAGUUGUAAUCUAAUCGAUAUGUUUCAGUUUACAAGAACUAAUGUACAUGUUUUAUUUUGUAUUUUUCAGCUUAAUCUGACGCGCCCAUGGACAGCAUAUAAUCUCCAUAUCAUGGACAAACAUUUAUGAUCGCCAUUGUGGGUAUCUGUUGAUCCAUAUGUCCUUGGGAAUUUCAUACCAUGGAUAUAGUCCUGGCGAACCAGAAGGACCAAGUUCUUGCAAAAUGCGCAAGAACAUGGUUCUAAAAUAUGUGUUAAUUUCUUUUACAGCAACCUUAGCAACAGAUCCGAUCCCUGGAUGGUUCCUAGUUGACAACAAUAUCCUUGGUCAUACCAUGCCAUCGAUAGAGUCCUUGGGAACCUAGAGGAUCACAUCUCUGCAGAAUGCGCUUUGAUAUGGUCCAAAAAUAUGUAUGCUUUUUUUUCAGAAGUCCUUUUACUUUAGCUGCAGCUGCAGCUUUUGUUUAACAGCUAUUUUACAGCACUCUUUUUACAUGAACUGUUAUUUAACAGUUCCCAUUUUAAAUGAGUUACAUUUUUGCCCCUUCAGGCUAUGCAAUGAAAUUUUUUUUUUCGCAGAACUUGACCCUCUGGGAAUUCCUGUGCGAUUGUCAACAGACACUCCUAGCGUCCGAUUAUAUAUUUAUUUUUAUGCUAAUUUGCUGAAUUAUUUCUCUAAAAAUUAUACAAAUCGAGCAGAAAUUAUAAUUUUAGCUUAUUGAAAAUUCAUAUGACUAUAUCUGGCUUAAUUAAAGAAGGUUCCUGAAAAAAUUAGCUUUGCCACUCGUGGAGGUCCUUAGAGCUCAUUGUACUCCUUAAUUUGGCAGUCUGAAAACACAAAAAACACAUUUAAAUUGAACAUAUAAAUAAUUAUAUUAAAGCGGAAAAUUGGCCAUAACUCGGGCAUGUCCUUGCAGAUUUUCAAAGGACAUGGUGCGUUAGGAUCAUAUUGACCCCCUGCAUCGAUCUGCAUCAUCAAAAUAUGGGGUCAUCUAAGAAUCCCAGCACUUGUAUUUUGACUUGUAAAAUUUCAGUCGCAAAGUGCAGGGAAAUGCCCCGAAAACACAAAUCCUUAAAUAUCUCCGAAACUACAAGGACGAUUCUAAUGAAAUUUGGCCAGCUUGUAGUCCUGGUUAAUACAAUUUUUUUGACACAUGAGUCGCAAGGAUACACAAGGAUACAGCUGAGCUAUGGCCUAUUUUAGGUAUACAAAAUUGUCCUUAAAACUUUUUUGUCUGAAGGACUUUUGUCCUUUGGGUUGUUAAUUCUUUAAUGGGAGGGUGAGGACUAUCUGCUGGCCAAAGGACAUCCAUAUAGUCCUUCAAAUGGCAAAGUUAGACCGGAUAUUUUCGAUUUUGGCCACUUUUGCGACUAACCCCCUUGAAUAAAUUUCGAUGAAAUUUUUUGUCGAAUUCUGGAAAUCCUUGAAUGCCAAUCGAUAGUCCUACUUACUACGAGCCUUAAAAGGUAUAUCCUUCAGUUAUCCUUAAGGAUUCUGCCGGGUUAUGGCUAUUUGAAAAAUGUCCUUUUUAGAAAAUUAGCCAUAACUCAGCUAAACCAAGGGCGAUUCUGAUGUCCUUUGGACAGUUUGUGGUCCUUGUUUAUAUGAUUUGUUUGACAUAUGAAUAGCUAGGAUCCGCAGGGAUUUGGCGAAGCUAUAGCUUUAGUAAGUUACAAAAGAAUUGUACUAAUAUCUAGGCUGUCUGAAGGACUUUCGUCCUUUUUAUUGGGUAUUUUGAAUCGAGAGGAUGAGGACUAUCGGUUGGUAAAAGAACAUCAUGAUUCGCAAGGAUACUGGCGAUCUACAGCCUUCUUUCUUUACAGACAAAAAUCUCCUCUCCACAGCUACUUGAAGGACUUUCGUCCUUUUUAUUACAUAUUCUAAAAUGGCAAGACAAGGACUGCACGUUGGCCAAAGGACAUCAAGAUGGUCCUUGAGGUGACUUAAAAAAUAACAUAUCUCAGAAACUAUAAGGACGAUUAAAAUGCCCUUUGGACAGAUUAUAGUCCUUGUCAUCCGCAAGGAUAACGCCAAUCAACAUCCUUCUUCUUUACAGACAAAUAUAUCUGUUGCUCACUUAGAGCUAUUUUUAUAUAAGAAGGAUAUAGAUUUUUGGCUAUAACUCGGCGAAAUCCUUAAGGAUCUGGUAUGAGCACACUUUUUGACUCGCAGGAUCGUGCGUCAAACGAUCCGUAAGGAUUUAGUACAAUUAAUAUAAUGAAAACCUAUGUCAAACUUAAAUUUAUCCUAAUCUUAAAGUAGUCAGGACAAGUAUUAUUGUAUGCAGAUAUUAUUGUUCGGCUCUCACAGGAGCAUGCAAUGCUAUAAUUUAUUACUAUUCAAAAGUUGCUUAUAAAUAAAUAAUAUAU